rnacentral:rRNA from 1 species
AGUGAACGCUGGCGGUAGGCCUAACACAUGCAAGUCGAACGGCAGCACAGUAAGAGCUUGCUCUUACGGGUGGCGAGUGGCGGACGGGUGAGGAAUACAACGGACUCUACUUUUUCGUGGGGGAUAACGUAGGUAAACUUACUCUAAUACCGCAUACGACCUACGGGUGAAAGCAGGGGAUCUUCUGACCUUGCGCGAUUGAAUGAGCCGCUGUCGGAUUGGCUGGUUGGCGGGGUAAAGGCCCACCAAGGCGACGAUCCGUAGCUGGUCUGAGAGGAUGAUAGGCCACACUGGAACUGGAACACGGUCCAGACUCCUAAGAGAGGCAGCAGUGGGGAAUAUUGGACAAUGGGCGCAAGCAUGAUCCAGCCAGCCCGCGUGGGUGAAGAAGGCGUUCGGGUUGUAAAGCCCGUCUGUUGGGAAAGAAAAGCAGCAGGUUAAUACCCAGCUGUUCUGACGGUACCCAAAGAAUAAGCACCGGCUAACUUCGUG